AGAUGUUAAAAGCAAGAGACAUGGGAGAGCAUCAUUCCUUUGAGAUUUUAUAAAUCAAACCAACUUUGGAGUUGUCUGAUUUGGAGAGUCAUUAUUCUUGGUCUUCGCUCUUAGAGGCCACUGAUGAAGAACAGGCGGUGACUGGGAUGAAUGCUGGUCAGAGAGGAGAAUCUUCUUUUGCCUAAACUGAUGCAGUGGUGGUUUUAAAGGAGGACGCUGCCCUGGAUGAUGUAGAAGAUGUCACAUGCUGUGCUGAUGGGGUUUCUUCAUGACUACAUCAGUUAUGCUAAACAGAUCAUGAAAAUUGACUGUGAUGCAUGAUCUGUAUUCAUGGACUAUGAAACAAACUGUAAGUGUAUAAUUUGUUAAAAAAAAAAAAAAGUUAAAUGCUUUUUCUGUGUUGUUUAGUAGAAGAGUUUACACUGUCAUUCAUACACCUGCUCACAUUCUUUCACACACACACAUACAUGCAUCUGUUAAAUGUUAUAAUAUCAAAGUUAAUGUUGUGAAUUAUUUGUGUACUGUCAUGCCAGAAUAGUUGAAAAAAAACCUAACUAAUUGUAAAUUUAUUGUAUGUGUUUUCGUAUAUUUUUAUACAAUAUAUACAAUUGAACAAAGUCCAAUUUGAUCUUAAGUUAUAUUCAUCAAAUGUUCAAUGCUUUGUUUAUGAACUCUGUAGCUGUUAAUGCCAUCCUUUUUCUGCAUUUCUUCUAACAUGUUACUUUUUGACUUUUCUCUUGUUUUUAAUAAAUAUUUUCCUUUUGGUAAUUAUUAUUUGUGUGUAAAAGUGAUAUUUAAAAUGAACAACAUUUGUAGGUUUAAUGCCUAGCUCAAUUUGGGUUAAUUUUAACGUAGAAAUGCAUUGUUUCCCCACAUGGCUGCACUCUGCGAGUUUAUUUUCUGCCAGCAGGAGGCGCUAAGAGCGGGAGAGGUAGGUUUCUCCGGUAACGGCUGCA